rnacentral:rRNA from 1 species
AACGAACGCUGGCGGCAUGCCUAACACAUGCAAGUCGAACGAGACCUUCGGGUCUAGUUGCGCACGGGUGCGUAACGCGUGGGAACCUGCCCUUAGGUUCGGAAUAACUCCCCGAAAGGGGUGCUAAUACCGGAUAAUGUCUUCGGACCAAAGAUUUAUCGCCUUUGGAUGGGCCCGCGUUGGAUUAGCUAGUUGGUAGGGUAAAAGCCUACCAAGGCGACGAUCCAUAGCUGGUCUGAGAGGAGGAUCAGCCACACUGGGACUGAGACACGGCCCAGACUCCUACGGGAGGCAGCAGUGGGGAAUAUUGGACAAUGGGCGAGAGCCUGAUCCAGCAAUGCCGCGUGAGUGAUGAAGGCCUUAGGGUUGUAAAGCUCUUUUGCCCGGGAUGAUAAUGACGGUACCGGGAGAAUAAGCUCCGGCUAACUCCGUG